GUGGGGAAUAUUAGGCAAUGGGCGAAAGCCUGACCUAGCAACGCCGCGUGAAGGAAGAAGGCCUUCGGGUUGUAAACUUCUUUUAUGAGGGACGAAGGACGUGACGGUACCUCAUGAAUAAGCCACGGCUAACUACGUGCCAGCAGCCGCGGUAAUACGUAGGUGGCGAGCGUUGUCCGGAUUUACUGGGUGUAAAGGGCGCGUAGGCGGACUGGCAAGUCAGAUGUGAAAUACAGGGGCUCAACCCCUGAACUGCAUUUGACACUGUUGGUCUUGAGUAUCGGAGAGGCAAGCGGAAUUCCUAGUGUAGCGGUGAAAUGCGUAGAUAUUAGGAGGAACACCAGUGGCGAAGGCGGCUUGCUGGACGACAACUGACGCUGAGGCGCGAAAGCGUGGGGAGCAAACAGGAUUAGAAACCCGAGUAGUCC
rnacentral:rRNA from 1 species